rnacentral:rRNA from 1 species
GAUGAACGCUGGCGGCGUGCCUAAUACAUGCAAGUCGAGCGAACGGACGAGAAGCUUGCUUCUCUGAUGUUAGCGGCGGACGGGUGAGUAGCACGUGGAUAACCUACCUAUAAGACUGGGAUAACUUCGGGAAACCGGAGCUAAUACCGGAUGAUAUUUUGAACCGCAUGGUUCAAAAGUGAAAGACGGUCUUGCUGUCACUUAUAGAUGGAUCCGCGCUGCAUUAGCUAGUUGGUAAGGUAACGGCUUACCAAGGCAACGAUGCAUAGCCGACCUGAGAGGGUGAUCGGCCACACUGGAACUGAGACACGGUCCAGACUCCUACGGGAGGCAGCAGUAGGGAAUCUUCCGCAAAGGGCGAAAGCCUGACGGAGCAACGCCGCGUGAGUGAUGAAGGUCUUCGGAUCGUAAAACUCUGUUAUUAGGGAAGAACAUAUGUGUAAGUAACUGUGCACAUCUUGACGGUACCUAAUCAGAAAGCCACGGCUAACUACGUG